UCCAGACUCCUACGGGAGGCAGCAGUGGGGGAUAUUGCACAAUGGGGGGAACCCUGAUGCAGCGACGCCGCGUGGGUGAAGGAGCGUUUCGGCGCGUAAAGCCCUGUCGGCAGGGAAGAAGGAGGACGGUACCUGACUAAGAAGCCCCGGCUAACUACGUGCCAGCAGCCGCGGUAAUACGUAGGGGGCAAGCGUUAUCCGGAUUUACUGGGUGUAAAGGGGGCGCAGACGGCAGCGCAAGCCAGGAGUGAAAGCCCGGGGCCCAACCCCGGGACUGCUCUUGGAACUGCGUGGCUGGAGUGCAGGAGGGGCAGGCGGAAUUCCUGGUGUAGCGGUGAAAUGCGUAGAUAUCAGGAGGAACACCGGUGGCGAAGGCGGCCUGCUGGACUGCAACUGACGUUGAGGCCCGAAAGCGUGGGGAGCAAACAGGAUUAGAUACCCCUGUA
rnacentral:rRNA from 1 species